AUUAAGAGGUUAGAGUUUCGAGGUCAAGAUAUUAUGUUUAUUUAAAAAUUUGCAGAUUAAUAGAGACAAGUGUGUAGGAGAUCUCCAACGAUAUUCAAUUAUAACCGUUCGUCAGAAUUCUACGCAGAUAGAACGUCGUUAGGUCAUAGAUCAUUGAAAGUGUCUAUCAAAAGCAUGGAGAUUAAAAAAGAAAAAAGAUUUGGAGAAAGAAGUGACUUUUGUCCUGGAUCUAUUAAGAGUCGAAAGAAAUCGUCCGUUAUACAAUCGUGUAUAUAACAAUUCUCAUAAUUUACAAUUUAUAAUACCGAAAAAAUAUAAAACAAAAAAAAAAUAUUUUAAAUAGAACGAAUCAGCCUCAAC
rnacentral:sRNA from 1 species